rnacentral:rRNA from 1 species
UGGGGAAUAUUGCACAAUGGGGGAAACCCUGAUGCAGCGACGCCGCGUGAGCGAAGAAGGCUUUCGAGUCGUAGAGCUCUGUCCUAUGAGAAGAUAAUGACGGUAUCAUAGGAGGAAGCCCUGGCUAAAUACGUGCCAGCAGCCGCGGUAAUACGUAUGGGGCGAGCGUUGUCCGGAAUUAUUGGGCGUAAAGGGUACGUAGGUGGUUUUUUAAGUCAGGUGUCAAAGCGUGGAGCUUAACUCCAUUAAGCACUUGAAACUGAAAGACUUGAGUGAAGGAGAGGAAAGUGGAAUUCCUAGUGUAGCGGUGAAAUGCGUAGAUAUUAGGAGGAAUACCGGUGGCGAAGGCGACUUUCUGGACUUUUACUGACGCUCAGGUACGAAAGCGUGGGGAGCAAACAGG